AGAAUCCAGUGGCAGCGUGCUUUACACCUGUUACAGGCGUGGCCCUUUAAGGAUGAGCCUGAUGGGAAAUGUGUGCGGGGCAGAGAGCAAAAAAAGAAGGAAAAAGGAAGAGUAACGGUUAACUACAGAAGAGACGAAGAGAAAGUAAAUAAAAGGAAUAUAAUAACUCCCUCGACAGCCAGAGUUGUAUCGGCGAUGCCCGCUGUUAUCCAGUCUGCUGGUGUCUCCAGCUCAGAUGCUGCUUCCCCCUGCAGAACACAGCAAAGUACAAUGUGCUCACUACAACUGAGUGAUAGAAAACCUUGAGCACACAUUGAAGGAUUUCAGUUUCAUGGGAAAAAGAGGCUGCUCAUCCACUUUUUUUUCACAGCCUCUGUGUCAGUCUUCAAAUUCAUCCUCUUGUCGUCAGGUACUCAUCCACCACAUCAACAUCUUGACCCGUGUUUGUUGUGGGACAUGUCUCUUUGUUCUGAAGUCAAACACCAUCGCCACCCCGGAUUUGAAGCAGAUGAUUCCUCCCAGAACUCUCAACAAAAUCAUCAACUUGUGCUCUGUACUCUUUUUCCUGCUCAUCACUAAUAGAUCCAUCCACUCCACAAUCAGUCAGAGUAUUUCUGUAGGUGGCAUGUACUGCCCAUCAAUAAAACAGACAGUCUCACAUACUGCAGCCUACCUGUCAGGUAGUCAGUAAUCCAUGAGAUUGUGGACAUGUUUCAUCUCUGUCAGUCGCAGCUCCUGGCUUUUGUUACAUGAACUCGAGAAAUUAAAGAUGGUGAUCCCCACCUUGCAGUCAUUACUAUCUAGAUGGAAGAAAAUAUAAAAGUGGGAGUGGUGUGACGACUUGUUUCACUCAUGAGUUUAAUCUAAAGCAGAUAUUUUAGACUAUGUUUACUGACUUUCAGUAGACUGCGUGGUUUAAAUGGCCUCAGCAAGUGGAAGAAGUUGGUGAAGUUGUCUGGAGAUGGAUCUGAUUGGUGAUAAUAACCUGCAGACUUGACAUCUGAACAAACGCCACCGGGGGGAUGUAGCUGAGAGCCAGAGGAGGGAAAAGUAACAUUGUUUUUUCAAUGAAGCUGAAACUAUUUUGUUCCAAAGCUUACAACUUCCUCAAAAAUGAAAAACUCCAGAUCUAAGUCAUACUUGCAGUCUCGUGACUUAUUCUAAAAU
ensembl:lncRNA